UACGGGGGGGGCAAGCGUUGUUCGGAAUUACUGGGCGUAAAGGGCGUGUAGGUGGCCAACUAAGUCCGACGUGAAAUCCCCAGGCUUAACCUGGGAACUGCGUCGGAUACUGGAUGGCUUGAAUUCGGGAGAGGGAUGCAGAAUUCCAGGUGUAGCGGUGAAAUGCGUAGAUAUCAAGAGGAACACCUGCGGCGAAGGCGGGUUGCUGGGCCGACACUGACGCUGAUGCGCGAAAGCCAGGGGAGCGAACGGG
rnacentral:rRNA from 1 species